rnacentral:rRNA from 1 species
UACGUAGGGGGCAAGCGUUGUCCGGAAUUAUUGGGCGUAAAGAGCUCGUAGGCGGUCUGUCGCGUCGGCUGUGAAAACCCGGAGCUCAACUCCGGGCCUGCAGUCGAUACGGGCAGACUGGAGUUCGGCAGGGGAGACUGGAAUUCCUGGUGUAGCGGUGAAAUGCGCAGAUAUCAGGAGGAACACCGGUGGCGAAGGCGGGUCUCUGGGCCGAUACUGACGCUGAGGAGCGAAAGCGUGGGGAGCGAACAGG